rnacentral:rRNA from 1 species
GACGAACGCUGGCGGCGUGCUUAACACAUGCAAGUCGAACGGAAAGGCCCUGCUUUUGUGGGGUGCUCGAGUGGCGAACGGGUGAGUAACACGUGAGUAACCUGCCCUUGACUUUGGGAUAACUUCAGGAAACUGGGGCUAAUACCGGAUAGGAGCUCCUGCUGCAUGGUGGGGGUUGGAAAGUUUCGGCGGUUGGGGAUGGACUCGCGGCUUAUCAGCUUGUUGGUGGGGUAGUGGCUUACCAAGGCUUUGACGGGUAGCCGGCCUGAGAGGGUGACCGGCCACAUUGGGACUGAGAUACGGCCCAGACUCCUACGGGAGGCAGCAGUGGGGAAUAUUGCACAAUGGGCGGAAGCCUGAUGCAGCAACGCCGCGGGCGGGAUGACGGCCUUCGGGUUGUAAACCGCUUUCGCCUGUGACGAAGCGUGAGUGACGGGAAUGGGUAAAGAAGCACCGGCUA